rnacentral:tRNA from 1 species
GCCUGAGUGGCUCAGUGGGUUAAGCGUCUGACUUCAGCUCAGGUUAUGAUCUCAUAGUUCUGGGUUCGAGCCCCGCAUCGGGCU